CAUCAAGAACCCCAAUAGUAAAACACAGUUGGCCCUACUCCCUAUCUUCAUUCUCUCUCUAUAGCUCUACCCUCCACAACCCAUUUCAUUAGAAAAACAUGAUUUGCCGGAGUUCUACCAGUCGGAUUUUCACAAAAUCACCUCCAAUCUUCUCCUUUCUUCUCCUAUACAAACCCGACUAAAAAUCCCCCGACCCGUGACUGGAGUUGCCAUCACCGGCCACCUCCGGCCGCCAUUUCCAAUUCUGAAACCGGAUUUGUGCUCUACUCACCUUCUUCUACGCGCCUUACUAUUUUUUUUUUCCGAAAACUCACCGGAUUUUUUUUAUUGAAAAACGAUCCGCCACCGGAAAUAUUAGCUUUUAACGGAGAACUCAUUGUACUGCACCUUUAAUCAAGACUCAAGCUUGGGGUUGUUUAUUUUAGAGCAUUUUUCAGAUUCUGAUCGACCCGAAAGUUCCCGAAUAUAGAAUUCCGAAUUCGAGCUCACAAUGGAUUUGGUAUAUUCUUUCAUUUUCAUGCUAUUAUCUUAAAUAUUUGUUUAAUUGUUCAAACACUUAGGAAUUCUGUAUAUCCUGUCUAUUACGUUGGUGAUUUGUGAUUGUUUGCCUUAGAUCAUAUAUUGGCUUGUUUUUGUUGGUAUAAAUCUCUUGUAGAAACCCUUUGCACAUGUCGACAUCAUGCAAGCGCCCCGCGUCUAACGCGAAAAAAGGGUUGAGAAAAGAACCUAGGGGCCAAAAUUAUCUAAUAAGCAACAUCGUGAACCCUAUCGUUCCCUUUCAGAAAGAAAGAUAAAACCAUCUAGAUCCAUUUUUCAUGACACAUACUUGUUAUUAGGGGUGUUGAAAACAUUGGUUGAGGAAACUUCCUAUUUCUCAAUGUCAAAACCUUUGAGCUCCCCACUCAUGAGUUCCUUGCUUCCAUGAGUCAUGAAAACGACUAGAAAACAUCCCAAUUUCAUAUUCUUGGCCAAUCAUUUGAGGCCUCCUUUAAAAGCAUGAACACCAUUAUGAUAACUUCUAGAUAGAUAGGGAACUCACUUUUGCACCAGGCCUUACCCACCCAAGUUUAAAGAGGGUGAAUUUUGGCAUGAUCUCAUGCGCUGGUAUUCUUUUACUUAGGGAUGAGAUAGAGUGAACAAUAUUACUUAUCCUUGUAUCCAGAUCGCUCAUCAAAUUUUGGUUUUCUCGAUCUUUGCUCGACAGGAGGUCAACCAAAUUAUAAAAACCGAUUGUUUUUCCUUUGGUGUAUGAACCAAAGGAAUGGCCCCCGGCCCGACUGCUCAUCCUAUUUCUUCCAGAAAUGAUUUGAGACCGGGGCAUGACCUACAUGUGAUAUCUAUAUCGGCGGCAUGGUCACCAUUUUAGAAAAUGGUCUUAACCACAACAUCACUUCUCCAUAUUACUCUCCAUUUUGAGGUUCUUGUUUGUUGGUCAUACCUUGUCUAACCAAGAUAUGGCAAAUCACUCCAUACCCUGCCAAUGAAUACUAUUGUAUCACCACCUAUUCGAACAAGAACUGUAUUAUUCCAACCAAUGAGAGGCUCGUAGAAUUUGACACUUUCGAUCGUGAGACGUUGCACAUGGAAGCACCUUUACAACACGAUUCCGACUCCGAUAAUGAACACGUAUCCAUGGAUGUCGAACCUUCAUCCUUACAUAUGCCCCAAUUUUCCCCCCUGAUUUUUUUUGAAAACUUCAACAAGCUUUGGCUUCAAAACCAGCAGAUGUGGGGCUAGCACAAUAGGGAGGAGAACUUUGAUCAACAUCCCCCUCCUUAUCUCGACUCUCCGAUAUAGGUUAUUUCUACCCUUACCUUGAGCAUUGAGGAUAAUGCUUGUUCUUAAGCUUGGGGUGGGGUAUUCCCUUUUCUUUUUACUUUUUCAUGCAUUGGUAGUUAGGUUGCAUAACAUAUUAGUUUUUAGCUAAUUGCAUUCUUAUAAAAAAAAAUCCAAAAAGAUUUUACUUUCUUCUUUUCUUUUUUUAAUUUAGCAAGACAUUUAAUUAGGACAUUAGCAUGCAUGCAUUUUUGUUGUCUGCUUUCUUCUCACCCCCAUUAGAUGUCAUGGAACAGGUUUAUAUUUAUUGUAUCAUUAUUGGUCCAGGAUCUUGUUUGUUAUCUCACACAUAGAACCGGGACCACUAGGUCGCAGUUUGGGACUUCAUACUUGGGAUCAACUACUAGAGCUUAAAGGGGUAAGUGAUCAUUGUCAGGGCAGUUUUCAUGAAGAGUUAUGCAUGCAAUACUAAUAACUAUAGGAUAUACAAUAGCAAUGAAUGUUUUUACCCUGAGGUCCAUGCCGCUGAGAAGAUCACACUCGAUCAUGUUUGAAUCAUUAGGAUGAAGCAUUGAUGCUUGUCCCCGAGUAGAAUCCUUAUCAGGUCUCUUUACAUCACCAUUUUUUUGCGAGUUUCUUAGGUUUUUAGAGUCUUUUAGUCUACAUUUAGACAUUUUCAUUAUAUGUUGAAAAUCAAAAUUUUGAAAAGGAACCUACAAAUUUAUGCUCCACACAUUGGUCAUUUUCACACUUAGACCAUUCAGAUCAGUAUCUUUCAGUUCCGCAUACAUAUUUUUGGAACCAAAUAUCGAGUCAAAAAGUGUUUUUUAGUAAAUUUUUCGCUAUGUUGCAACAUGAUGUUCAAGUAUUUAAAAAAAAAUUCAAAUCAGAAAAGAGAAGCUCAAAUAAGAAAUUUUAAGUUGCGGCUGUUUUAGAUGGGUGACGAGUACAAUUAUUGAACAAUAUUUCUUAUAUUUUGGUUACCCGACGAUUGAUAUUCAUGUAGAUAGGUAGAUUUUUUUGUAUAUAGAUCGAGUUUUUUUUGUUUGCAAAUUGGUGAUAUUAGGGAGUCUAUCAAGUCGAAUACUACAUGAGGUUCGGGCCAACACUAAGUUAGCCGAUUCUUACAACGAUGUCGAGCGAUGAAACCCAGUCACACAGGAGAGAAACUAUCACUCGUGAGAUCACACAACUUUCGUGAUAAGAGUGUACACGCAAAGAAGAGUUCCAUCCGAGACCACCCAUCUACUUUCUCCCUACUACAGAGGUUUUUUUAUUGUAUGCAUGUUUUAUUGGGGGCUGUGACUGACCUUCCUUCCUUACUCACCUGAAGGACUUGUUCUGGCUAUGGUUUAUGCUUCCAAUGUCAACCGGAUGAAAAGUUCUUGGGAUAAUAGCAAGAUCAACUCUGCUCAUAUUGACUAACUUUGAUAAGGUUCUAUGGUUCUGUCUGUUCUUUUUAUUUUUAGGAUAGUUCAUCCAAAGUUCAUUUUAGUUUUGUCUUACUUGAGGACAAGUAAGGUUUAAGCUUGGGAUGAUUUGGCAGUUUCAUUUUAUUUACUUUUUUUUAUAGUUUAUUUUAGCAUUUUUGUUUUAUUUUUAGUUAAUCUUCAUGCAUAUUUUUCCUUUUUGUUAUUUUAUUUCUAUAUUGGGUAUUUUAUAGUUUUUUGAGCUUUAUUACAGAUAUUUGGAGAAAUGGAAUGGAGUAUGGAAGAAGAUUCAAAAGACAAACAGAGUUCGAGCGCAUGAUUUGAAUUGUUGGAACAUAUUAAAGAGAGUUAGAUUAAAGAUUGAUGUCAUUCGAGUUUGCUUUGAAGAUUACAUGCAAGAAACAUGGGCCUUGGAUGAUUGGAAGAUGAAUAUUUAUGGAUUAUGGAUUAAUGUUUAUGGCUAUUUUAUUUGGACUUUUGAGGGUAAUAAGAUAAGAUGGACAUGUUUUGGAUUACUUAAAAUUGCAAUUGGGCUUCUAGGAUCAGUCAAAGAAGUCAAAGAAGACCAAAGAGGAAAAAGGGACAACAAAAGAAUUCUCAAUCAGCACAACCCAUGAGGCCACGUGAGUUUUUACACUGCAGCUCACGCGACCACGUGACUCCUUCGUGGGCAGUUUUGGGUUUUCAACUGUUAUGGCUAUUUGAAGGUAGUUUGGUGGGAGCUUUUGGGGCAUUCUUAGAUCAAUUUUUGAGCAUUUUCUUUGGGGUUUUUGAGCUCUUGAAGAUCGUAAGAACUUGAAGAAAACAUCAUAUUUUCAUCUAGAUUCUUGUUGAAUGUUUGGUGUUUCUAAACCCUUUCUAUUUUGUUUAAGCUUAGGGGUCGUUUGAUAUGCAGCUGAUCGGGUCAGGUCAGCACUUUUGGCUGACUCAGUCCGAUCAAACUGUUUGAUAAAAGGCUAAUCACGUCUGACCCGGUCCAAUAUUCUGAUUCGGUCCUGAGUAUUUGUCUUACUGGGUCCAUGGAAAAAAUGAGGCUGACCGAACGUUUCCCCAUUUUGCCCUGAUGAAUGUUCAAUCGUGAACGACAACCUCCAUCGUUUCUCCUCUACCGCUUCUGUCUUCAUCGAGUUUUCCACCAUUCUGCCAUCGUCGGCGCCUUCUUCACCAUGAUUCUUCCUGGGACUUCUUCCAUCUCCGGCGUUUCAUUGGGCAUGAUCUUGAAAUACACUGUCUAACUAUGUCACUUGGUUCAUUUUACAUUAAGGAAAAUGCUGUAAUUUUGGUUUGAUUAUAAAAAUGAUGUUUGAAUGUUGAUUUAGUCUUUUUUUUUAUAUGUUUAUGUGUUGUAUAGAUUUGGGUUCU